rnacentral:rRNA from 1 species
UACGAGGGGGGCAAGCGUUGUUCGGAAUUACUGGGCGUAAAGCGCACGUAGGCGGCUUGGUAAGUUAGAGGUGAAAGCCUGGAGCUCAACUCCAGAAUUGCCUUUAAGACUGCCGAGCUAGCAGGUGAGAGAGGUGAGUGGAAUUCCGAGUGUAGAGGUGAAAUUCGUAGAUAUUCGGAAGAACACCAGUGGCGAAGGCGGCUCACUGGCUCAUACUGGACGCUGAGGUGCGAAAGCGUGGGGAGCAAACAGG